rnacentral:SRP_RNA from 1 species
GCCAGGCAUGGUGGCGCGUGCCUUUAAUCCCAGCUACUGGGGAGGCUGAGACAGGAGAAUUGCUUGAACCCAGGAGGCAGAGGUCGCAGUGAGCCGAGAUCGUGCCACUGCACUCCAGCCUGGGCGACAGAGCAAGACUCUGUCUCAA